CCUACGGGGGGCAGCAGUGAGGAAUAUUGGUCAAUGGGCUUACGCCUGAACCAGCCAAGUCGCGUGAGGGAAGACUGCCCUAUGGGUUGUAAACCUCUUUUGUCAGGGAGCAACGCCGGCUACGUGUAGCCGGACUGGGAUGACCUGAAAGAAAAGCAUCCGCUAACUACGUGCCAGCAGCCGCGGUAAUACGGAGGGGGCAAGCGUUGUCCGGAAUUACUGGGGGUAAAGGGAGCGCAGGCGGGCAGUCAAGUCAGCUGUGAAAACGACGGGCUUAACUUGUGAACUGCAGUUGAAACUGGUUUUCUUGAGUGAAGAAGAGGAUGGCGGAAUUCAGGGUGUAGCGGUGAAAUGCGUAGAUAUUCGGAAGAACACCGGUGGCGAAGGCGGCCGACUGGGCUUUAACUGACGCUGAGGCUCGAAAGUGUGGGGAGCAAACAGGAUUAGAUACCCGAGUAGUC
rnacentral:rRNA from 1 species